rnacentral:rRNA from 1 species
CAGCCGCCGCGGUAAUACGUAGGGUGCGAGCGUUAAUCGGAUUUACUCGGCGUAAAGCGUGCGCAGGCGGCCCGUUAAGACAGGUGUGAAAUCCCUGGGCUCAACCUAGGAAUUGCGCUUGUGACUGGCGGGCUCGAGUACGGUAGAGGGGGGUGGAAUUCCUGGUGUAGCAGUGAAAUGCGUAGAGAUCAGGAGGAACACCGAUGGCGAAGGCAGCCCCCUGGGCCUGUACUGACGCUCAUGCACGAAAGCGUGGGGAGCAAACAGGAUUAGAUACCCUGGUAGUCCACGCCCUAAACGAUGGGUACUAGCCGUUUGGUGCGCGAUAGCGCUGAGUGGCGAAGCUAACGCGUGAAGUACCCCGCCUGGGGAGUACGGCCGCAAGGUUGAAACUUAAAGGAAUUGGCGGG